rnacentral:rRNA from 1 species
UACGUAGGGUGCGAGCGUUAAUCGGAAUUACUGGGCGUAAAGCGUGCGCAGGCGGUUUUGUAAGUCUGAUGUGAAAUCCCCGGGCUCAACCUGGGAACUGCGUUGGAAACUACAAGGCUAGAGUGUAGAAGAGGGGGGUAGAAUUCCACGUGUAGCAGUGAAAUGCGUAGAGAUGUGGAGGAAUACCGAUGGCGAAGGCAGCCCCCUGGGCUAACACUGACGCUCAUGCACGAAAGCGUGGGGAGCAAACAGG